AGAAAAAUAGAAAUAAAACGAGUGUUACAAUUUACAACUAUACAAGAUUAUAGUUAACCAACAAUAAUGAGUGAAAUCCGAAAGAUGCUGACAACUCUGUGGACUUGGCAUACAUUGCGCUGCUAAAGGCUACAGCCUCAACGGCUUGCCUAAAUGUAUACAACAUACCCAUUGUGAUCCCAUAAGUGGGGUAUAGGGGAAGCUUUGCCUAAACAUAGAAACUACAAACCUCUCUCAGAAAUCGGUGGGUGGUUUCAACCGAACAAGUCUCUUGAUUCUAUCUUUGUCAAUGUUCUCCAGCAAACCCGUCCACACAAUCUCAUCCAGGCACAAGCAAAUCUUUCCAUACUUGUCCAGGAAAAGUCUCUCUGUUGGAGGUUUCCCACAUACAUCCUUGAGAGCAGAUGUUAUAACAAAGAUUGCUUCAGACAAAGAAAGUUCAUCAUAUUCAUCCUUCCCGACAACAUAAAUGCUUACAUCUCCAAGCUUUGUAUAUACAAUGUAAACAGACUUAUGGCAAGCAACAAGAAGUUCUUCAUUCUUGACACCCUUAAGAUUCUCCGAACCAAGCUUAACUAAAAAAGACCGCCAAUGCAGACGCUCCUCUGCAGGUACUCCAUUAAAGCGUUCGACGAGGAUGUUGCCCUCGGAGUUGGCGAAUAGCACCGCUAGCAGCAUUUUUCUUACCCUUUUCCGACGCGAUCGCUUGCUGCUCUGACCAACGAAAACGGAUCUCAAAGGCCUCGUUUUGUCCCUCAGAAAAUUGGAA
rnacentral:misc_RNA from 1 species